rnacentral:rRNA from 1 species
CGUAGGUGGCAAGCGUUGUCCGGAAUUAUUGGGCGUAAAGCGCGCGCAGGCGGUUCCUUAAGUCUGAUGUGAAAGCCCCCGGCUCAACCGGGGAGGGUCAUUGGAAACUGGGGAACUUGAGUGCAGAAGAGAAGAGCGGAAUUCCACGUGUAGCGGUGAAAUGCGUAGAGAUGUGGAGGAACACCAGUGGCGAAGGCGGCUCUUUGGUCUGUAACUGACGCUGAGGCGCGAAAGCGUGGGGAGCAAACAGGAUUAGAUACCCUGGUAGUCCACGCCGUAAACGAUGAGUGCUAAGUGUUAGAGGGUUUCCGCCUUUAGUGCUGCAGCUAACGCAUUAAGCACUCCGCCUGGGGAGUACGGCCGCAAGGCUG